rnacentral:tRNA from 1 species
GCCGUCAUAGCUCAGUCGGUAGAGCGCCCGCCUGUUAAGCGGAUGGUCGCAGGUUCAAGUCCUGCUGACGGCGCCA